AUAUCAAUAAGCGGAGGAAAGGAAACCAACAGGGAUUCCUCAGUAACGGUGAGUGAAGCGGUAACAGCUCAAAUUUGAAAUCUGGCUCACGCCCGAGUUGUAAUUUGUAGAAGAUGCUUUGGGUGUAGCUCCGGUCUAAGUCCCUUGGAACAGGACGUCAUAGAGGGUGAGAAUCCCGUAUGUGACUGGUAGCUUUCGCCCGUGUAAAGCUCUUUCGACGAGUCGAGUUGUUUGGGAAUGCAGCUCUAAAUUGGUGGUAAAUUCCAUCUAAAGCUAAAUACCGGCCAGAGACCGAUAGCGCACAAGUA
rnacentral:rRNA from 1 species